ACGGAGGGUGCAAGCGUUAUCCGGAUUCAUUGGGUUUAAAGGGUGCGUAGGCGGAACGUUAAGUCAGUGGUGAAAUCCUGCAGCUCAACUGUAGACUUGCCAUUGAUACUGGCGUUCUUGAGUGCGCUUGAAGUAGGCGGAAUGUGUCGUGUAGCGGUGAAAUGCUUAGAUAUGACACAGAACACCAAUUGCGAAGGCAGCUUACUAAGGCGAUACUGACGCUGAGGCACGAAAGCGUGGGGAUCAAACAGG
rnacentral:rRNA from 1 species